rnacentral:misc_RNA from 1 species
UACGGAGGGUGCAAGCGUUAAUCGGAAUUACUGGGCGUAAAGCGCGCGUAGGUGGCGAGGUCAGUCAGCUGUGAAAGCCCCGGGCUCAACCUGGGAAUUGCAACUGAUACUGCCUGGCUCGAGUACGGUAGAGGGGUGUGGAAUUUCCUGUGUAGCGGUGAAAUGCGUAGAUAUAGGAAGGAACACCAGUGGCGAAGGCGACACCCUGGACCGAUACUGACACUGAGGUGCGAAAGCGUGGGGAGCAAACAGG